AUGGAACUCCAUCCCCCCCCCCCACCCCAGAAAAAUAACCACAAAAUAUGGGGAGCACAAACACAUUUGUCAUUUUUUUUGAAAGCAAUGUCUUUCACUUUUCCAAAGCACAACUUUGCUUUUCAUUGUUUUAAAGGCACAACUAUAUGUGCUCUUCCUGUUGAAGCACACAGUUAUGUUUCUCACAACUAUGCUUCAUGGAGUAGCAUAUUUGUGCUUUUCACAGGGUGUGCCUCACAGGUGAAAAAAGUACACUCUUUUUCUUUCAAGAAACCUAGGAAAACUCGAGCAAAAUCAGAAUAA
rnacentral:rRNA from 1 species